rnacentral:misc_RNA from 1 species
GAUGAAGAACGUAGUGAAAUGCGAUAAGUAGUGUGAAUUGCAGAAUUCAGUGAAUCAUCGAAUCUUUGAACGCACACUGCGCCCCUUGGUAUUCCAUGGGGCAUGCCUGUUCGAGCGUCAUUUGUACCUUCAAGCUCUGCUUGGUGUUGGGUGUUUGUCUCGCCUCUGCGUGUAGACUCGCCUCAAAACAAUUGGCAGCCGGCGUAUUGAUUUCGGAGCGCAGUACAUCUCGCGCUUUGCACUCAUAACGACGACGUCCAAAAGUACAUUUUUACACUCUUGACCUCGGAUCAGGUAGGGAUACCCGCUGAACUUAAGCAUAUCAAUAAGCGGAGGA